rnacentral:siRNA from 1 species
ACUUCCGGGAAAAUGCAGGAUGAA